UUGGAUUGUUAAAAAUAAUUGUGUUACUAUUUCUUACAUUCCAUAAAGAACCCUUUCUGAUGGAUUAUUUCUUAUUGAACUGUUUUAAAAUUUUGAGUUUCUUCUUUUUCUUUUUUGGGUCCAUUGUUGGGGGAUGAUACAUCUUUAAUUUAGAUUUAUUAUCGUUAGCUUGUUUUGCAUUUUGUAUUAUGUUUUUUGAAAUUUUGAGUUUCUUCUUUUUCUUUCUUUGGUCAUGUGUUGUGCGAUGUUAUUUGCAUUAGGGGUGUUUGGUUGGUUGUUUUUUUAGGGGUGUUUUGGUUAGUUAGGCUUAAGAAGCAAGGGCUAGUGAAAGAGAAGCAUUUGAUUGUACUACAAGUAAUAAGCUUCUCCUCAAUCAUUCAACCAUUUUUUUAGUAAAGAAAGAGGCUUCUCCUCUGGCAACCAAAGUCCGUCCCUCGUUAACAGGUAUAAGUUGAAUGGAAGAGUUUUUUAGCCUUGAUAGAUCUUGAGUACCUGAAUCGCCGAUGAAACAGAGGUUAUUUUCUCGGAAAUUCCACGAAUUGUUCAGGUUUGGAUUCUGUAAUUCUGUUGUUCUUUUUUGAUUUUGGAGAGUGUCCUGGGUAAUUUUGAGGAUUAUUAUUUUUUUGUUUUUUUGGCUUGCAUUUAAUCACGCGCGUUGGGGAAUAGACAGGCUUCGGAGAAUGAAUCACCUUUUUAAGGUUUCGCUGGGGAGCGAAUUGGCCAUAAGGCAUCCCUUUCUGUUCAGUCUCUCUCUUGCCUUUUUCAUACUAUAUGGUUGUUGAUCUGGGGUUAUUAAAUGAUUGUUGCUUUUAUUUUCAUAAGAAGUGAUUUUAUAUUUUUGUUUCUCUCUGUGCAACUUUAAUAUGAGGUUAUUAAGGAAGGAGAUAAAGGAGGAAGAAGGGACGGAGAAAAGGAAGAAAUGACUGGAUUGUUGGGAUGGGUAUGAAGAUGCAGUAGAGCCACCACCUAGGGGCUGUAAGGUCUAAUGGGCAAAUUGAAAGUAAAAAAGAGUGCACAUCCAUUCAAGCUAAGAGAGCUUGGGUUCCUAAAUUACUAUUGCUCUGGGUUCUGUUGGUGGCAUUGAUUGGUAUUGUUAAUCUACAAGGGAAUUGAUGGUGUUAACAAAGUUAGAAGAAAGGAAGUUUUGGGCGUAUGUGUGACCAGAGGACAAAGAUGCUUCUGCAUCAAUUUACUGUCAGUGUUAAACUAUGUCCAUGCUUUGGUUAUUUUAUUUUCUACUUUCCACUCCUCUCGAAAUGUAUCAGCAAUUGUUCAUGUAAAUGUGUUUCGAUUUCCGUCUUUGAUACUUCUCAGUUAGUUAGGCUUAAAAGUAUGAGAGAUAAUUCAUUUCUCGUCUCAUAUAGAAAUUAUCUUGAUGUCUUGA